rnacentral:rRNA from 1 species
UACAGAGGUCUCAAGCGUUGUUCGGAUUCAUUGGGCGUAAAGGGUGCGUAGGCGGUAGGGUAAGUCUGGUGUGAAAUCCCGGGGCUCAACCCCGGAACUGCACUGGAUACUGCUUUACUAGAGUACUGGAGAGGGAACUGGAAUUUACGGUGUAGCAGUGAAAUGCGUAGAGAUCGUAAGGAAGACCAGUGGCGAAGGCGAGUUCCUGGACAGUUACUGACGCUGAGGCACGAAGGCCAGGGGAGCAAACGGGAUUAGAAACCCCCGUAGUCC